rnacentral:rRNA from 1 species
GGGUUAGUAACGCGUGGGAACGUGCCCUUCACUGCGGAAUAGCCACUGGAAACGGUGAGUAAUACCGCAUACGCCCUUCGGGGGAAAGAUUUAUCGGUGAAGGAUCGGCCCGCGUUAGAUUAGAUAGUUGGUGGGGUAACGGCCUACCAAGUCUACGAUCUAUAGCUGGUUUUAGAGGAUGAUCAGCAACACUGGGACUGAGACACGGCCCAGACUCCUACGGGAGGCAGCAGUGGGGAAUCUUGGACAAUGGGCGCAAGCCUGAUCCAGCCAUGCCGCGUGAGUGAUGAAGGCCUUAGGGUCGUAAAGCUCUUUCGCCAGAGAUGAUAAUGACAGUAUCUGGUAAAGAAACCCCGGCUAACUCCGUGCCAGCAGCCGCGGUAAUACGGAGGGGGUUAGCGUUGUUCGGAAUUACUGGGCGUAAAGCGCACGUAGGCGGAUCAGAAAGUUGGGGGUGAAAUCCCGGGGCUCAACCCCGGAACUGCCUCCAAAACUCCUGGUCUUGAGUUCGAGAGAGGUGAGUGGAAUUCCGAGUGUAGAGGUGAAAUUCGUAGAUAUUCGGAGGAACACCAGUGGCGAAGGCGGCUCACUGGCUCGAUACUGACGCUGAGGUGCGAAAGUGUGGGGAGCAAACAGGAUUAGAUACCCUGG